rnacentral:rRNA from 1 species
UACGUAGGGUGCAAGCGUUAUCCGGAAUUAUUGGGCGUAAAGAGCUCGUAGGCGGUUUGUCGCGUCUGCUGUGAAAACCCGAGGCUCAACCUCGGGCCUGCAGUGGGUACGGGCAGACUAGAGUGCGGUAGGGGGAGAUUGGAAUUCCUGGUGUAGCGGUGGAAUGCGCAGAUAUCAGGAGGAACACCAAUGGCGAAGGCAGAUCUCUGGGCCGUAACUGACGCUGAGGAGCGAAAGCAUGGGGAGCGAACAGG